rnacentral:rRNA from 1 species
UACGUAGGGCGCGAGCGUUGUCCGGAAUCAUUGGGCGUAAAGAGCUCGUAGGCGGCCGGUUGCGUCUGCUGUGAAAUCCCGGGGCUUAACCCCGGGCGUGCAGUGGAUACGGGCUGGCUGGAGGCAGGCAGGGGAGAAUGGAAUUCCCGGUGUAGCGGUGAAAUGCGCAGAUAUCGGGAGGAACACCGGUGGCGAAGGCGGCUCACUGGCCCGGUACUGACGCUGAGGUGCGAAAGCGUGGGGAGCAAACAGG